AUUGAACGCUGGCGGCAUGCCUUACACAUGCAAGUCGAACGGCAGCACGGGAGCAAUCCUGGUGGCGAGUGGCGAACGGGUGAGUAAUAUAUCGGAACGUGCCCAGUCGUGGGGGAUAACGCAGCGAAAGCUGUGCUAAUACCGCAUACGAUCUAAGGAUGAAAGCGGGGGAUCGCAAGACCUCGCGCCAUGGGAGCGGCCGAUAUCCGAUUAGCUAGUUGGUGGGGUAAAGGCCCACCAAGGCGACGAUCUGUAGCUGGUCUGAGAGGACGACCAGCCACACUGGAACUGAGACACGGUCCAGACUCCUACGGGAGGCAGCAGUGGGGAAUUUUGGACAAUGGGCGCAAGCCUGAUCCAGCAAUGCCGCGUGCAGGAUGAAGGCCUUCGGGUUGUAAACUGCUUUUGUACGGAACGAAACGGCCCUUUCUAAUACAGGGGGCUAAUGACGGUACCGUAAGAAUAAGCACCGGCUAACUACGUGCCAGCCGCCGCUGUAA
rnacentral:rRNA from 1 species